AACUCCCUUUAUAAUUCAAAUGAUUAUCAAGCUUUGUUUUUAGUUUCAUUCUCCUUCAAUUCAAAUUGUUAGCUUCUCGACACAUAGUACUCCAUUUUCAACCGUCGGAUCGUCAAAAUGAACUUUGAAGUGAGAUAUAUCCAGUGUACACUAUAGCUACGGAUUUAGGCCUAGAGUAUUGUGCUUGGAAGGAAAUCGGCCAAGGUACCAAAGGUGAAAUAUGAGGUGAUGUGUUGCUUGUACGUGCGCGGGGCUAAACAAAUUUGGGUUUUAUAAAUUUGUAAUUUAAAUGAAAAAUUCUUUUAUUGUAUGAAGAUUAUUUACAGGC